UAUGAUGUAUAACAAUAGCAUAGAAUCAAUUUCAUCGAAAACAUAACCUAAGAUCAAAAUCCCCAAAUUUUAGAAAUGAAGAACCCUAAUUCCUAUAAAUUUCGAUUCGUAUAGAUAACGACCUCUAUCACAUAAAUUGUUAGAGGGGUUUUGUAGAGCUCAAACAAUUAAGCAAGUUGGGCUUUGGAAUCACCUGAAAAGGUUGAGAAUUGAAGGAGAUAUCGUCUGCACAAGUUACAAGCCCUAGAAUGUUCUUCGAUUAAAUUCGCGAUGUAGAGGUGAUGAAAUGGAGAAAUUUCAGUGGGGUUUUGCGUGGAAUGAACGGAGAAAUCUAGGGUAUUAGUUUGGUAAACGAAUUUGGCGAUUUUAGUAAAAACCCAUUUUAUGUUCUUACAAGCUUUAAAUGGCUUUUGAUUGAGAUUAAGGAUGAGUUAUGGUUAUCAUAAAGUUCGAUUUAACGGUGCUAUGAUUCGUUUUCCUUGUAACCGAACUCAAGGGUAACAAUUUGAAGUCAAAACAUCGUGUAAAGAUGAAGAGUUUUAUGGUGGGAAGCUGGUUAGGUCGCGCAAGGAAGGGGAAAGGUUCCAGGCGUGGCAGAGUGGUUGUGUUUCUUUAUGUACAUGAAUAAUU
rnacentral:lncRNA from 1 species